AAGUAUACCACCGAAGUUCUGGGCACGAAAGUGCGGUAGGGGAGCAUUCCAUUCCGCGUUGAAGCCGAACCGUGAGGUUUGGUGGAGUGUAUGGAAAAGCAAAUGUAGGCAUGAGUAACGAUAAUGCGGGAGAGUAACCCGCACACCGCAAGACCAAGGUUUCCUGAUCAACGCUAAUCGGAUCAGGGUUAGUCGGGUCCUAAGGGUAAGCCGAACGGUGAUCUCGAUGGAUAAUCGGUUAAUAUUCCGAUACCGCCGAGCAACCGGAUGCAGUGACACAGAAGGAUAGGCAGAGCGUGGCGAUGGUAGACCACGUCCAAGCAGUGAGGCUGUUGUGUAGUGAAGUACGCACAACGGAAGGCUGGGCUGUGAUGGGGAACGAUUACGAUCGGUAAGCUGCUGAAUUCACGCUGGCGAGAAAAGCUGCUAGUACAUCCAAAGGUACCCGUACCGGAAACCGACGCAGGUGGGCGAGGAGAGAAUCCUGAGACGAACGGGAGAACCCUUGUUAAGGAACUCGGCAAAAUGACCCCGUAACUUCGGGAGAAGGGGUGCCUGCGAGAGCAGGCCGCAGAGAAUAGGCUCAAGCAACUGUUUAGCAAAAACACAGGUCUAUGCGAAACCGAAAGGUGAGGUAUAUGGGCUGACGCCUGCCCGGUGCUGGAAGGUUAAGAGGAGAGGUUAGCGCAAGCGAAGCUUUGAAUUUAAGCCCCAGUAAACGGCGGCCGUAACUAUAACGGUCCUAAGGUAGCGAAAUUCCUUGUCGGGUAAGUUCCGACCCGCACGAAAGGCGUAAUGAUUUGAGCGCUGUCUCGACAAUGCAUCCGGUGAAAUUGAAGUACCAGUGAAGAUGCUGGUUACCUGCGCCAGGACGGAAAGACCCCAUGGAGCUUUACUCCAGCUUGAUACUGGGAUUCGGUAUUGCAUGUACAGGAUAGGUGGGAGGCUAGGAAAUGGUAACGCCAGUUGCCAUGGAGCCAAUGUUGGGAUACCACCCUUGCAGUACUGGGUUUCUAACCAGCAGCCGUGACCCGGCUGGGGGACAAUGUCAGGUGGGGAGUUUGACUGGGGCGGUCGCCUCCGAAAGGGUAUCGGAGGCGCUCAAAGGUUCCCUCAGAAUGGUUGGAAACCAUUCGAAGAGUGCAAAGGCAGAAGGGAGCUUGACUGCGACACCGACGGGUGGAGCAGGUACGAAAGUAGGACUUAGUGAUCCGGUGGUAUAAAGUGGGAUUGCCAUCGCUCAACGGAUAAAAGCUACCCUGGGGAUAACAGGCUUAUCACUCCCAAGAGUUCACAUCGACGGAGUGGUUUGGCACCUCGAUGUCGGCUCAUCGCAUCCUGGGGCUGUAGUAGGUCCCAAGGGUUGGGCUGUUCGCCCAUUAAAGCGGUACGCGAGCUGGGUUCAGAACGUCGUGAGACAGUUCGGUCCCUAUCUGUCGUGGGCGCAGGAUAUUUGAAAGGCGCUGUCCCUAGUACGAGAGGACCGGGAUGGACGCACCUCUGGUGCACCAGUUGUCACGCCAGUGGCACAGCUGGGCAGCUAUGUUCGGAUCGGAUAAACGCUGAAAGCAUCUAAGCGUGAAGCCGGCCUUAAGAUAAGAUAUCCCACUGAGUCAAUCAGGUAAGACCCCUUGA
rnacentral:rRNA from 1 species